UCAAUAAUAGAUUAGAGGAAGCAGAAUAAUAGAUCAGUGAGCUGGAAGACACAGUAGUGGAAAGCAACCAAGCUGAAUGGAAAAAAAAGAAUAAUAAAAAAUGAGAAUAGGUUAACGGAACUCAAGAACAUCAGCAAGCAUAAUUACAUUCCCAUUAUAGGGAUCCCGGAUGAAGAAGAGAGAGGGGAAUAGAAAAUUUAUUUGAAGAAAUAAUAACUGAAAACGUCCCUAAUCUGGGUAAAGAAACAGAGAUCCAGGUCCAGGAAGCAAAGAGGCCCCAACAAAAUUAACCCAAUGAGGUCUACACCAAGACACAUAAUAAUUAAAAUGCCAAAAAGUAGAGGUAGAGUUUUAAAAGCGGCAAGAGGAAAGAAAAUCACUGCAUAUAAGGGAAACCCCAUAAGGCUACCAGCUGAUUUUUUCAGCAGAAACUGCAGGCCAGAAGGGAGGGGCAUGAUAGAGUCAAAGUACUGGAAGGAAAAAAAAACUUGCAACCAAGAUUACUCUACUCAGCAACCCUGUCAUUCAGAAUGGACAGAUAGAGUUUCCCAGACAAACAAGUUAAAGGAGUUCACCACCACUAAACCAGCCUUACAAGAAACAUUGAAGGGAGUGGGAAGAAAAGGCCAUAUCAGGAACAAGAAAAUUAUGAAAGGAAAACAUUUCACAGGGAAGUCAUGCCAUGAGUAGUCCCAUGAUGGGAAACUAAUGCUUCCUGCCAAAAGCAGAGUGUGCUUGGAAGGAGAUCCUCUGUGCCUCAUCAAGUCAUCAAAGACUAUAACCCUGGCUGACAGUGUGACUGCACACCAUGAGACACCCUGAUGCUGCAACACCCAGCUCGGCUGCUCCCAGAUGCCUGACCCUCAGAGACAGUGAGAUAAUAAAUGCUCGUCAUUAUAGACCAUGCAGUUUGUGAGUAGUUUGUUUGUUACACAGCAACAAUUGACAGCUAAAGCUCUAGCAAAGUUAAAAAAAAAAUGAGAAGCACAGAAUAUGAAGUUUAAAAGAGGGGACAGCUUUUGUUUAAAUGCUAUAAGAAAUGUGAAUUUUGCAUCAUCGGAUGCCAUAUUUCUGGAAUUAUAGGGUGUUACGUUUCCUCCAAAUCCUCCAUUCACUUCAUUAAGAAUUUGGUGAGUGCUCAUCAAUUCUCUGUUAAGUCUCAAGUAUUAAACACAGGGACAUCACAUAAAAUUCACUUUAUUACAGUGUGAUACUCAGACUACAAUAGCUGCUAAUAAAUGUUCAAUAAUGUAGCAUAUGGUGUAUGUAUGUGUGUACAUAUGCAUUCACAUGCUGGGUUAACAAAGCAAAGGGCUGGGUUACAUAGUAAGUAUAACUAACAAAACAAAUCAGAGCAGAGUGGUUUUUUUUAAUCCAUACCAUUUCACUCUUCAGCAAAGCCAAUCCAAUCUGGUCAGUGUGAACUUUCCUUCCCAUCCCAAAUCUCUGCGGUCCAUAGUAAUUUACAAACCCUUUAUUCUACGAAUACAAGAAAAUCAAUCAUUAAAAGCACAUUAUUAUGUGAGCACUGGGUGUUGUAUGUAAGCGAUAAACCACGGGAAUCUACCCCCAAAACCAAGAGCGCACUGUAUACAAUGUUAGCCAAUUUGACAAUAAAUUAUAUUAAAAAAAUUAAAAACUAAAAUAAAAAAAAAA